GUCUCCAGCGCGCGCUGUUCCUGUUGCCAGGGAGCGCAAGAUGGCGGCGGCGCGGAGAGUGGGGAAGGAGCUGGAUGAGAUCAGGAGGUCAAGAUUCCGCUGCUUCCGGAAUAUUGAGGUGGAUCCAGCCAAUGUCCUCCUUUGGAAGUGGCUUCUGGUGCCGGAUGACCCACCUUACAAUCAAGGGGCAUUCCAGGUUGAGAUCAGCUUUCCAGGUGAUUACCCUUUGCACCCCCCCAAGGUAACUUUCAAGACUAAGAUCUACCAUCCCAAUGUGGACGAGACUGGCCGAGUGUGCUUGCCAAUCAUCAGUCCCAGGAACUGGAACCUUUCCACAAAAAUAGAACAAGUGAUUCAAGAACUUAUAGCAUUAGUGAAUAACCCUGACCCGGACCAUCCCUUGCGUGCUGAGUUGGCUGAGGAGUUCACCAUGGACCAUGAACGCUUCCUGGCCAAAGCAAAAGAACACACUCGCGAAUUCAGCGAAAAGCGGCCGAGUGAGUGACCUUCUCAGCCCAACAAAUGCCCACCAAAACUUCUCUGCCUAUCUGUUGUGAUAGCUAAUUGAAGAUCCACUCGUAUAAUUUCACAGUAGAUAACAUUGUUGCAGCUCUCCUGUUCAAGUUGCCUGGCCAUCUUAAUGGAAUGGAAUCAUAGUCCUCAUCUUUUAUGUAAUUUAUUUGUUGUUGUAGCUGUGUAUUUUAAGUAAUUUUGGACUUAUGGUAACACUAAUGUGAACCUAUCAUGGGGUUUUAUUAUCAGAAUUUGUUCAGAGUGGAUACAUAUAGUUUUCCAGAACUAUAUGUGAAAUAUAUAAGAAAGUCAAGAACUGUUCUUAAGUUUUGUUAAAGUACACCAGGACUAUGUGCAAACUAGGAAUCAUUAUUGCUUAGCUUGGAAUCUGUCUUCUGUGUGAGAAUUCUCUGGGAUAGUGUGGGCAACUGUGCCCCCCCCCCCCCCCGGAUAUUAUUAGAACUCUUCUAGUCCCAAUAUUUGACUAGACUGCCCAGACUUGCAGGGAAUUGUAGGCCAAACAUACCAACAUCUUUUACAUUACAGAAUUGUAGCACUACAGUUUUACUUUAACUACCACGACUGAAUCCUGAGGAAUCCUGCGAUUUGUAGCAUGAGUUUCUAAAGCUCUCUGUUUAGGACAAAGGGGGCAGUAUUCAUUCCUUAUUGGUUCAAGUUUCUAAUUCUAAUGUAAUUUAUCUUAAAAACACAAAACAGUGUAUGUGUGAAGGGGUAAAGGUAAGAAAGAGUAUUUUGUCUCAUCCAGAAUAUCUUUGUGAUACGGUAUUAUGAAGGUGUUCUUCACUUCUUUGUUUGCUGUAGGGUCGUAAAGUAAUAGAAGACAAAUUGAAUGGUCACAUCAUGUCUACUGCCUAGGUGUGGGAUGAUGGCCUAAAGCCUUACAUAUUUACUAUUUCUUGUAAAGUUUUAAACUGGCAAGGAUAGGGGAAUCUCACAAUCUCCUUCGGUGUCCUAUUUGUUCCUAGCCUAAUGUUUAUUCCCAGCAGUCUGAUUCUAACUGCAUUGCCUCAGAGUUCAGUGGCACUUCUUCAUGUAGAGCUGCAGCUUCUUGCUUGCACAUGAUUUAACAUUAUGAGACUUACUUCUUAGUAAAUAUACAGAGAAUUAGACUGAGUUCUGGGUUAUCUGUAUUUUACCUUCAGCGAGAGUUGUCUCCCAUGUAGCCUUCAUAUUUUGGUGCAAGGGAUUUGAACCGAAGUUUGCUCAAAUGAAAUAUAGGUGAAUUGCCUUGACUUGCUAUAGUUUUGUUUUAAUGGAUUUGGUGAUCUGCAUGGAGACAUGUGAUAGCAUCAAGGGCUGGAGAAAGAUUUGCCAAGGGAACAAGAGAUGGAAUUGGAGGCAGUAAUUGCUGCAGCGACUUGCUUGUUCCAAGUUAUGCCUGUUAAGAACAGACUGUCCAUAUGCUUCCCUGGAGGCUGGAUUGCUGAAGAUGAGGGUUAGCAUCUACAUGAAAGAUAGCCAUUUCUUUUCUGGACAUCCCAAAAGCCAGAUAUCUGUGAAUAGUAGAUGUUUAGAGUUGAGGAAACUAGAGACACUCUACAUAAGGUUCAUCCCUGUUGAUUCUUCCUAAAAAAACAAACAGAACCCUGAACUUGAACCCUCUUAAUCCUUAUAGUGUACAUAGAAACAUUAAAAUAUGGUUCCAAGGACAUCAUAAUGGGCGUGAUUUUCUUUACCAAAUAUACAUACGCUAUAGCCCCCUCCCCCCUUUGUGGGAAAGCUUGAUUCCACAACUCCCGCUAUAAUGAGCUCUCCUCCGCAAAUUACCUGCUUCUCUCUUUUAUCUCACCCGAGUUUUUAAUUAGUUUGUCUUUUAAUCAUGACAUGUAGCCCGCCCAUUGUUAUUGUGCUUCCGUUUACUGAAAUUUUCAUAUUGUUAUGUAUUCAUACGUUUUAUGUAACUAUUACGUUAUUGUUUAUUGUUCGCGUUUUCGGUUUGUGUUUUGGUUUUUCUUUAUUGUAAUUGUUAUUUGGGCUUGGCCUCAUGUAAGCCAUUCCAACUCCCCAUUGGGGAGAUGGUGGUGGGGUAUAAAUAAAGAUGAUGAUGAUGAUGA